UUUAGUGGCGAACGGGUGCGUAAUACGUGAGAAUCUGCCCUUAGGAGGAGUAUAACUGUUGGAAACGACUGCUAACACUCCAUAUGUCGAGAGAUGAAAUAAUUUAUUGCCUAAGGAUGAGCUCGCGCCUGAUUAGCUAGUUGGUGAGGUAAUGGCUCACCAAGGCCACGAUCAGUAGCUGGUUUGAGAGAACGAUCAGCCACACUGGGACUGAGACACGGCCCAGACUCCUCCGGGAGGCAGCAGUGAGGAAUUUUCCGCAAUGGGCGAAAGCCUGACGGAGCAAUACCGCGUGAGGGAUGAAGGAUUUUGGUCUGUAAACCUCUUUUCUCAAGAAAGAAGUUCUGACGGUACUUGAGGAAUAAGCAUCGGCUAACUCCGUGCCAGCAGCCGCGGUAAUACGGGGGAUGCAAGCGUUAUCCGGAAUCAUUGGGCGUAAAGCGCCUGUAGGUUGUUUAAUAAGUCUGUUGUUAAAGACUAGGGCUCAACCCUAG
rnacentral:rRNA from 1 species